rnacentral:rRNA from 1 species
GGAUUAGAUACCCUGGUAGUCCACGCCCUAAACGAUGCUGACUAGUUGUUCGGGAUUUACAUCCUGAGUAACGUAGCUAACGCGUGAAGUCAGCCGCCUGGGGAGUACGGUCGCAAGAUUAAAACUCAAAGGAAUUGACGGGGACCCGCACAAGCGGUGGAUGAUGUGGAUUAAUUCGAUGCAACGCGAAAAACCUUACCUACCCUUGACAUGUCACUAACGAAGUAGAGAUACAUUAGGUGCCCGUAAGGGAAAGUGAACACAGGUGCUGCAUGGCUGUCGUCAGCUCGUGCC